rfam:Triticum aestivum genome assembly, contig: Triticum_aestivum_CS42_TGACv1_scaffold_228156_3B
GUAGUAUUCCCUCCGUCCCAAAAUUCUUGUCUUACAUUUGUUUAGAUACGGAUGUAUCUAACACUAAAAUGUAACUAGAUACAUCCGUAUUUAGAAAAAUUUAAGACAAGAAUUUUGGGACGGAGGGAGUACAAA